AGUUUGAUCCUGGCUCAAAACGAACGCUGGCGGCAGGCCUAACACAUGCAAGUCGAGCGCUACCUUCGGGUGGAGCGGCGGACGGGUUAGUAACGCGUGGGAAUAUACCCUUCACUAUGGAAUAGCCUCGGGAAACUGAGAGUAAUACCAUAUACGCCCUUCGGGGGAAAGAUUUAUCGGUGAAGGAUUAACCCGCAUAAGAUUAGCUAGUUGGUAGGGUAAUGGCCUACCAAGGCGACAAUCGGUAGCUGGUCUGAGAGGAUGAUCAUCCACCCUGGGACUGAGAAAAGGCCC
rnacentral:rRNA from 1 species